GACGAACGCUGGCGGCGCGCUUAACACAUGCAAGUCGAACGGAAAGGCCUGCUUUCCCUUGUGGAUUGCGGGUACUCGAGUGGCGAACGGGUGAGUAACACGUGAGUGAUCUGCCCCCAACUUGGGUAUAAGCCUGGGAAACUGGGUCUAAUUCCCGAUAGGACUGCAGGGUGGUGCCUGUGGUGGAAAACGAUUUUCUAGUGGUUGGGGAUGAGCUCGCGGCCUAUCAGCUUGUUGGUGGGGUAAUGGCCUACCAAGGCGGCGACGGGUAGCCGGCCUGGGAGGGUGGGCGGCCAAAUUGGGACUGAGAUACGGCCCAGACUCCUACGGGAGGCAGCAGUGGGGAAUAUUGCACAAUGGGCGGAAGCCUGAUGCAGCGACGCCGCGUGGGGGAUGACGGCCUUCGGGUUGUAAACUCCUUUCGACCGCGAGGAAGCCACCUGGUUGGAAGGGUGGUGACGGUAGUGGUAGAAGAAGCACCGGCUAACUACGUG
rnacentral:rRNA from 1 species